ensembl:lncRNA
AUGAAUCUGUCUGAAGAGAGCUGGUGGAGGAGCUGAGAAGCUGUAAGACGAUUAGGAAUUUACCAACAAGGAUUCCUCACGUUGGGGCCAGAUUUGAGCUGUUUGUUCCAGACCAGGACUCUGGCUGAGGAGCGCUGAUAGAGGAGCCAAGACUCUGGAGGACGACAUCACUCUAUCAACAAGGAUCCUCGUCAGUUUGCAUAAAACCAGGAAUCUGGAGGACUGACGGAGAAGCCAUACAUCUGGAAGGCAAAUCCUGAGGACGACCAGGACUCUACCAUCAAGGAUUCCUCACACACCUGAGCUGAACCUCACCUGAUCCUGUUUGGUCGGCGUUAGGGUUGAGAGUCAGGGUUUAGAGUCAGGGACAGAGCUGGUCAGGGAGGACUGGUUUUACACAAAC